GGUUGUGAGUAUUUUGUCCGAACUAAUAAUACCCAUUGUUAGUUACGCGAACUGCACAUAGAGAUGAUCUUAGUAGUACAACAUAUGCUAAUGGAAGGCAACAGAGAUAAAACGAAUAACGUAAUAGGCUAAUAGCAACAUUAAGGGUAGCCAAAAAGUAUAAGCUCAGACCUGGUGAGGUGAUCAUCAAACUGUUUCACGGACAUUGAGGAUUUGGGGAAACAUAAAGAGCUAAUAGACUGAACUAAAGGCGGCAUGGAUCAUAUGUCAAGGAAGAAUGGGUUCAACCAGAAAUUAAGUAGGAGCAACUCAGACAUAACCCCCAGCAUCUCCACAGCUCCUCUUUGUCU
rnacentral:lncRNA from 1 species